AUGCCUCUCCUUCAUGUCAAUAUGCCUUGUCCAUUGCUGUUCUGGUUAGUGUUUAUUGGCUUAUUUCACUGUAGAGCCUCUAGUCCUGCUCAUUAUACCUUAUCCAACCUAUUAGUUCCACCACCCACACAUGCAAUGACAUCUCCUGGUUUCAAUGAUGUUUCUAGAGACAAUAUCUCUCUCUUCAUCACUCAAUACCUAGGUUUACCUCCACUGUAUUCACAUCCUACCUUACCUUUGUCUGUACAUUAUACCUUGAUGCUAUUUUAUCGCCCCCAGAAACCUCCUUUUACUCUCUGUUCCAGACGUUCUAAACGACCAAUUCUUAUCGCUUUUAGCCGCACCCUUAUUCUACUCCUACUCUGUUCAUCUGGCGAUGUAGAGGUGAAUCCAGGCCCUGCAGUGCCUAGCUCCACUCCUAUUCCCCAGGUGCUCUCUUUUGAUGACUUCUGUAACCGUAAUAGCCUUGGUUUCAUGCAUGUUAACAUUAGAAGCCUCCUCCCUAAGUUUGUUCUAUUCACUGCUUUAGCACACUCUGCCAACCCGGAUGUUCUAGCUGUGUCUGAAUCCUGGCUUAGGAAGACCACCAAAAAUUCAGACAUUUUAAUUCCAAACUACAACAUUUUCAGACAAGAUAGAACUGCCAAAGGGGGCGGUGUUGCAAUCUACUGCAAAGAUAGCCUGCAGAGUUCUGUCCUACUAUCCAGGUCUGUACCCAAACAAUUUGAACUUCUACUUUUAAAAAUCCACCUCUCUAAAAACAAGUCUCUCACCGUUGCCGCCUGCUAUAGACCACCCUCUGCCCCCAGCUGUGCUCUGGACACCAUAUGUGAACUGAUUGCCCCCCAUCUAUCUUCAGAGCUUGUGCUGCUAGGCGACCUAAACUGGAACAUGCUUAACACCCCAGCCAUCCUACAAUCUAAACUUGAUGCCCUCAACCUCACACAAAUUAUCAAUGAACCUACCAGGUACCUCCCCAAAGCCUUAAACACGGGCACCCUCAUAGAUAUCAUCCUAACCAACUUGCCCUCUAAAUACACCUCUGCUGUUUUCAACCAAGAUCUCAGCGAUCACUGCCUCAUUGCCUGCAUCCGUAAUGGGUCAGCGGUCAAACGACCUCCACUCAUCACUGUAAAACGCUCCCUGAAACACUUCAGCGAGCAGGCCUUUCUAAUCGACCUGGCCGGGGUAUCCUGGAAGGAUAUUGAUCUCAUCCCGUCAGUAGAGGAUGCCUGGAUAUUUUUUUUAAAUGCCUUCCUAACCAUCUUAAAUAAACAUGGCCCAUUCAAGAAAUUUAGAACCAGGAAUAGAUAUAGCCCUUGGUUCUCCCCAGAACUGACUGCCCUUAACCAACAAAAAAACAUCCUAUGGCGUUCUGCAUUAGCAUCGAACAGCCCCCGUGAUAUGCAGAUGUUCAGGGAAGCUAGAAACCAUUAUACACAGGCAGUUAGAAAAGCCAAGGCUAGCUUUUUCAAGCAGAAAUUUGCUUCCUGCAACACUAACUCAAAAAAGUUCUGGGACACUGUAAAGUCCAUGUAG
rnacentral:lncRNA from 1 species